CUUGGAAAAAUAUAUUCAUUUCGGUGAAAUCUAAGUGUUGAGCUCGCUCUUCACAAGACUAGAUUUCAUCCCUCAAAGAUUUUUCCAAGUUCCACCUCUUGGAAAAA
rnacentral:sRNA from 1 species